UUGUCCCGACACUCCUGCGUCAUGAAGGUCUUGCUGCUCGUCGCUCUGGGUCUGGUCGCCCUGGCCGCCGCUCGACCCUCUGACAUCAUCGACAUCGAGCAGGACCACAUGGAGCACGAGCAGGAGGGCGUGCCAGGGACGGCCGUGGAGGGCGAGUACUCGUGGGUAGCGCCCGACGGGAACGAGUACCACGUCAAGUACGUCGCCGACCGCUUCGGUUACCGCGUGGUCGAGGACAACGUCGUUCCCAAGGUUCGCAGCGACUUGCCUGAAGCUGAAGAGGACGAUGAAGCGGAAGAGGCCGAGGAGGACGUCCCCGCGGCCAGAGCUGCUGCCGAGCUCGAGGAGGACGAAGAGGACGAGGAGGGAGCCGAGGAGGAAGACGAGGAAUAGAUAUGUUCGAAAAUAGUAAUAACGACAACAAAAAUAACAAAAACGUAUCUAGUUCUUAAGUUCGACGUGUGAGAGAUUAUAGGAUUUGAACCUGAAGUUAUAUUUCUUCAGUCGAGGAACGGUACGUAAAGAGAGAGAGAGAGAGAGAGAGAGAGAGAGAGAGAGAGAGAGAGAGAGAUAGUAAUUUCAUUUCAUAAAAA